AGUCUCCACUGGGAAUUAUUUAAAAUAUAGUAUGACGGAUUUUUCGCUUUGGGCACACCCCCCACUGGAACUCUAGAACCCGGCCUUGGCCGGGCUAUACGUUAGUAUAGUAUACUAUCCCAUAGUACCUAUAGUAUCCAUAGUCCUAUAGUAUAAAGACCCAUAGUACUGUAUAAUAAUUACCACAUAUAGUAUCUGUAUAAAUAGUGCAUUGAGAUUUAUACACGUAUUAUGCAUAAAUGUCUUAUGUAACUAUGCAUAAGACAUAUAUGGUACAUGUAUAUACAACCAGAAUGCCAAAUGUUUCAGAUUUAAAUAGAUACAUGUAACGGAUGAGGUCUCGUAAGUUCUAUCGGUCAGUGUGUUUAUACACAUAAUCUCAGGACCAAUUUACAAUUUCCUUUUUUUAAUUUUAAAAAUACAUUAGCAAGAGUAGGAAUUUAAAAAAUCCUCCCAAAAUCAAGGAGCGUAAAAACUUUAAAACCUAAAAAACGUAAUUUUUAUGGAUCAUGUGGAGAACUUUUGAAAUCUAUGUAAAAUAGAAUUUGAAUACACUGAAAAUUCACGAGUUUGGCUGAAAAAAUUCAAAAAUUUUAGGUCAAACUAUUAAAAUUUUCUUGUGCGCCAAAAUAUUCGGGCGGACCGAAAACCGGCGGUCCGGUCAGGUCCUUGAAACCGGACCGAGGACCGGACCGAAACUUUCGGUCCGGAUUGGCGGAUGGCCCAAUCCGGGACCGAACCGUCGGAUUUCGGUCCGGUCCGGGCCAACCCGAAGCUCAUUGAGAACCCUAUCUCAAAUUGACACAUCCGCUCGUCACCAUUGGUAUUGUCAAGACGCCACUGCAUUGGUAGGCAGCAUCUCUCCUGGGACCCAUUGUAACUUAUUUUGGCACGCUGGGUUGACUACGGCUUCAGGUAAACUAAGAGAGGCCACACUGAUAUUGGGACCUAUUCUUGAUGGAUAAUGCUGCAAAAUUUUACCCGGGUCGUACGGGAGACCAUGCACCAGGUACACUUUGAUCUUAGCCGAAAGGCCGAUAGCCUCUUUGUGGGUCGCUGACGUGAAAACUAUUUUUGGAGGAAUCGUGCAGCAUCGUUCGGGAACACUUUGAUCUUAGCCAAAAGGCCGCUGGUCUGGUAUUCUUCGGAAGGAGGAGUCAAAUACAUUUCAUAGCAGAUUUGUGCACAUCAAAUUUACACUUCUUUUGAAAUACAUGCAUUUUAUACAAUUUUUAAAAGCCGAAAUUUUGGCAAAAUAAAGAUAUUUAGUUAAC